UUGACAGAUUAUUGUAUUCGACUGUAUUCACGGCGUGAAACAGGGGAUUACACUGUUUUAAAACGAAAAGUGAAUCAAUUAACAUAAUAGACUCCU
rnacentral:pre_miRNA from 1 species